GAUGAACGCUGGCGGCGUGCCUAAUACAUGCAAGUCGAGCGAACAGACGAGGAGCUUGCUCCUCUGACGUUAGCGGCGGACGGGUGAGUAAAACGUGGAUAACCUACCUAUAAGACUGGGAUAACUUCGGGAAACCGGAGCUAAUACCGGGUAAUAUAUUGAACCGCAUGGUUCAAUAGUGAAAGACGGUUUUGCUGUCACUUAUAGAUGGAUCCGCGCCGCAUUAGCUAGUUGGUAAGGUAACGGCUUACCAAGGCAACGAUGCGUAGCCGACCUGAGAGGGUGAUCGGCCACACUGGAACUGAGACACGGUCCAGACUCCUACGGGAGGCAGCAGUAGGGAAUCUUCCGCAAUGGGCGAAAGCCUGACGGAGCAACGCCGCGUGAGUGAUGAAGGUCUUCGGAUCGUAAAACUCUGUUAUUAGGGAAGAACAAAUGUGUAAGUAACUAUGCACGUCUUGACGGUACCUAAUCAGAAAGCCACGGCUAACUACGUG
rnacentral:rRNA from 1 species